rnacentral:rRNA from 1 species
AUUGAACGCUGGCGGCAGGCCUAACACAUGCAAGUCGAAUGGUAACAGGAAACAGCUUGCUGUUUCGCUGACGAGUGGCGGACGGGUGAGUAAUGUCUGGGAAACUGCCUGAUGGAGGGGGAUAACUACUGGAAACGGUAGCUAAUACCGCAUAACGUCGCGAGACCAAAGAGGGGGACCUUCGGGCCUCUUGCCAUCAGAUGUGCCCAGAUGGGAUUAGCUAGUAGGUGGGGUAACGGCUCACCUAGGCGACGAUCCCUAGCUGGUCUGAGAGGAUGACCAGCCACACUGGAACUGAGACACGGUCCAGACUCCUACGGGAGGCAGCAGUGGGGAAUAUUGCACAAUGGGCGCAAGCCUGAUGCAGCCAUGCCGCGUGUAUGAAGAAGGCCUUCGGGUUGUAAAGUACUUUCAGCGGGGAGGAAGGGAGUAAAGUUAAUACCUUUGCUCAUUGACGUUACCCGCAGAAGAAGCACCGGCUAACUCCGUG